rnacentral:rRNA from 1 species
CCUACGGGUGGCUGCAGUGGGGGAUAUUGCACAAUGGGGGGAACCCUGAUGCAGCGACGCAGCGUGGGUGAAGGAGUGCUUCGGCAUGUAAAGCCCUAUCGGCAGGGAAGAAGAAAGACGGUACCUGACUAAGAAGCACCGGCUAAAUACGUGCCAGCAGCCGCGGUAAUACGUAGGGGGCGAGCGUUAUCCGGAUGCACGGGGUGUAAAGGGAGCGUAGACGGCCAUGCAAGCCAGGGGUGAAAGCCCGGGGCUCAACCCCGGGACUGCACUUGGUACUGUGCGGCUAGAGUGCGGGAGAGGCAGGCGGAAUUCCUGGUGUAGCGGUGAAAUGCGUAGAUAUCAGGAGGAACACCGGCGGCGAAGGCGGCCUGCUGAACCGCGACUGACGUUGAGGCUCGAAAGCGUGGGGAGCGAACAGGAUUAGAUACCCCUGUAGUC